rnacentral:rRNA from 1 species
AUUCCAGCUCCAAUAGCGUAUAUUAAAGUUGUUGCAGUUAAAAAGCUCGUAGUUGGAUUUCUGGUAGGAGCGACCGGUCCGCCCUGUUAAGGGUGUGUACUAGCGUUGUCUCUGGCCAUCCUUGGGGGAACUGCGCGGGGAGACUUGCGUUAGGGAACCCAUCGUUUACUGUGAAAAAAUUAGAGUGUUUAAAGCAGGCUUAUGCCGUUGAAUACAUUAGCAUGGAAUAAUAAGAUAGGACCGCGUGGUCGUCUUGUUGGUUUGCACCGCGAGGUAAUGAUUAAUAGGUACAGUUGGGGGUAUUCGUAUUCAAUUGUCAGAGGUGAAAUUCUUGGAUUUAUGAAAGACGAACUUCUGCGAAAGCAUUUACCAAGGAUGUUUUCAUCG